rnacentral:rRNA from 1 species
CCAAUAGCGUAUAUUAAAGUUGUUGCAGUUAAAAAGCUCGUAGUUGAAUUUCGGGGUCAGCAGGUUGGUCGUGCCAAUGGUAUGCACUGGCCUUGCUGAUUCCUCCCUCUUGAUGAGCCGUAAUGUCAUUAAUUUGGUGUUGCGGGGAAUCAGGACUGUUACUUUGAAAAACUUAGAGUGUUUAAAGCAGGCAAGCGCUUGAAUACAUUAGCAUGGAAUAAUGAAAUAGGACGUUUGAUCCUAUUUUGUUGGUUUCUAGGAUUGACGUAAUGAUUAAUAGGGAUAGUUGGGGGCAUUAGUAUUCAAUUGUCAGAGGUGAAAUUCUUGGAUUUAUUGAAGACUAACUACUGCGAAAGCAUUUGCCAAGGAUGUUUUCAUUAAUCAAGAACGAAAGUUAGGGGAUCGAAGACGAUCAGAUACCGUCGUAGUCUUAACCAUAAACUAUGCCGACUAGGGAUCGGAUGAUGUUAAUUUUUUAAUGACUCAUUCGGCGCCUUACG